rnacentral:sRNA from 1 species
UUAAUUAUAAAUUGAGAUUUCUGAUGUAAGUCAUGUACAGAUACUGAACAUGGUGACUUAAAUGGACAAACUACCAUACUAAAAACACUUCAUAAUAUACAAUUUGUCUCCCUCUAAACCAAUACGCUCACCACAACUGCUUUUUCAACCACCUCGCCGUUGAUUUUCUUAUAAUCAUCUAUGAUCACCUCAUGAUAAUCUUAGAAUAUUGCGUUCUUUCGAAAAGGUCCACGAUAGAUUUUAUCGGAGUCAAAUAGACCUUCAUAUGCGACUAAAGUCGCUCCAACCGGGUGUGUUCGAAGACGCUUUAAUGCCUGUUUAAGGGUUUGAUACUUAUAGAUGUAUGUGGUGUUGAACAUUUUUUCGUCUAGAAUAGGUAACCACUUUGUGGUACAUGAAGGUCUUUGCCCGUUCAUCUCCAAUCGUUCUCUAGGUAUACCAAACUUUUUUAUGAACCUGACCACCACGUAGUACUUUAGCAUCUACAUACUUGCGUGGAUCGACCUUUUGCAAAAGAUAUUCUCUACACAACCGCUCAUAGUUUUCUUCCCAACCAUGUAAUACACGGGAUACACUUACCAGGUUAGUGGACUAUGAGUUAUUAUUUUAGCUUAUUCAAACUAUAUGUUAUUUAUGACAUAUAUAUAUAUAUAUAUAUUA